rnacentral:rRNA from 1 species
AUCCUGGCUCAGGAUGAACGCUGGCGGCGUGCCUAAUACAUGCAAGUCGAGCGAACAGACAAGGAGCUUUCUCCUUUGACGUUAGCGGCGGAGGGGUGAGUAACACGUGGGUAACCUCCCUAUAAGACUGGGAUAACUUCGGGAAACCGGAGUUAAUCCGGGAUAAUAUUUCGAACCCCAUGGUUCGAUAGUGAAAGAUGGUUUUUCUAUCACUUAUAGAUGGACCCGCGCCGUAUUAGCUAGUUGGUAAGGUAACGGCUUACCAAGGCGACGAUACGUAGCCGACCUGAGAGGGUGAUCGGCCACACUGGAACUGAGACACGGUCCAGACUCCUACGGGAGGCAGCAGUAGGGAAUCUUCCGCAAUGGGCGAAAGCCUGACGGAGCAACGCCGCGUGAGUGAUGAAGGUCUUCGGAUUGUAAAACUUUGUUAUUAGGGAAGAACAUACGUGUAAGUAACUAUGCACGUCUUGACGGUACCUAAUCAGAAAGCCACGGCUAACUACGUGCCAGCAGCCGCGGUAAUACGUAGGUGGCAAGCGUUAUCCGGAAUUAUUGGGCGUAAAGCGCGCGUAGGCGGUUUUUUAAGUUUGAUGUGAAAGCCCACGGCUCAACCGUGGAGGGUCAUUGGAAACUGGAAAACUUGAGUGCAGAAGAGGAAAGUGGAAUUCCAUGUGUAGCGGUGAAAUGCGCAGAGAUAUGGAGGAACACCAGUGGCGAAGGCGAUUUUCUGGUCUGUAACUGACGCUGAUGUGCGAAAGCGUGGGGAUCAAACAGGAUUAGAUACCGUGGUAGUCCACGCCGUAAACGAUGAGUGCUAAGUGUUAGGGGGUUUCCGCCCCUUAGUGCUGCAGCUAACGCAUUAAGCACUCCGCCUGGGGAGUACGACCGCAAGGUUGAAACUCAAAGGAAUUGACGGGGACCCGCACAAGCGGUGGAGCAUGUGGUUUAAUUCGAAGCAACGCGAAGAACCUUACCAAAUCUUGACAUCCUUUGACAACUCUAGAGAUAGAGCCUUCCCUUUCGGGGGCCACCCCCCACAGGUGGUGCAUGGUUGUUGUCAGCUCGUGUCGUGAGAUGUUGGGUUAAGUCCCGCAACGAGCGCAACCCUUAAGUUUAGUUGCCAUCAUUAAGUUGGGCACUCUAAGUUGACUGCCGGUGACAAACCGGAGGAAGGUGGGGAUGACGUCAAAUCAUCAUGCCCCUUAUGAUUUGGGCUACACACGUGCUACAAUGGACAAUACAAAGGGCAGCGAAACCGCGAGGUCAAGCAAAUCCCAUAAAGUUGUUCUCAGUUCGGAUUGUAGUCUGCAACUCGCCUACAUGAAGCUGGAAUCGCUAGUAAUCGUAGAUCAGCAUGCUACGGUGAAUACGUUCCCGGGUCUUGUACACACCGCCCGUCACACCUCGAGAGUUUGUAACACCCGAAGCCGGUGGAGUAACCAUUGGAGCUAGCCGUCGAA